AGGAGGCAAUCAGGCUUAGGACACCCCCAACUUUUCUUGAAUCAUGGAAUCUAUAUUCAGUCUCUUGCAGAUUCAGCUAAAGAUGUGUAUAUGCUAGACUGUGAAGUACCAUUAGAAGAUGAAGCAAUGUAGGACCUCUUGAGCUAUUUUCAAGGUAAACUGGAGGUUCAAUUGGGAUGCAAUGAAGAGCCCCUGACAAGCAUAUUCUUCAAAGCCUCCCAUGGUGUAACUGAAGAUACGAUAUGUGAAGUAGCCCUAGCUUGCCUGCUCAAGGAGGGACAUCAGAAUGAUACCUUUUGCUCCAGUUGUUCUCAAAUUCACAUCUUCUGUCCAUGGGGUCUGUAAUGUCACCGUUUCAUAGAAGAACUUCAGUGUCUCUCCUUUUCCCUAUGGGAGCAUCAACACUCCACAUCUACUCACAAGUAUUUCACCUUUUUUCUCUGUAUAGUGGGCAAGAGCACUUUCACCAUAGGCCCACAUUGGCCUGAAAUAUCUUCUUUUGCCCAAGGCGUACUCAUGCCUGCACUCUCUUGUGGCCAUCAUUAGCACUUCUUCUCUUGAUUUUGUGAGCCUGCUAUAUCCCAACUGUUUAGGAUUACAUACAAACUUAUUUCUGCUACAUGUAUUCUGAGACAUUCCU